rnacentral:rRNA from 1 species
CGGUAUGAGUAGCGAAAGAUAGGUGAGAAUCCUAUCCACCGUAUGACUAAGGUUUCCUGGGGAAGGCUCGUCCUCCCAGGGUUAGUCGGGACCUAAGCCGAGGCCGAGAGGCGUAGGCGAUGGAUAAUAGGUUGAUAUUCCUGUACUAGUUAAACUUGUUUGAACAAUGGAGGGACGCAGUAGGCUAAGGAAAGCACCCAGCUGGAAAAGGGUGUCCAAGCAGUAAGUCUGAAGUAGAGUCAAAUGCUUUACUUC